ensembl:lncRNA
UAUCAUUCCAUCCUCUCACAUGGUCUGUACAGCAGCUUGAAGCUUUUUAUGAUAGCUAAACUUUUAUGAUACUGCAAUAAAUUUGCGCCCUGAAUCUAUGGGUCAAUACUGCUGACAGGACUUAAGGCAGAGAGAAAUUGAUGGCAUAGAAAUGAAACUGUCUAAAGGCAUCAUUCUCCUUUUUCUGGGAUUGUUUUUUAAGGUUGCUGUGGCAGGGUAUUCCACACAGGUGUACUGGUUAGAGCUUGAAAUCGAGUCAUCGGUGUAUGACUAUGUUGUUGAGCUUCUGAUGGAGCAGACACACAUAGACAUUGCUAAUGCAAUUGUAACAGACAUCAAAAACACAACAGAUUGCACACUGAAAGAUAAGAAAAAUAUUUGUUUAUGCAUGCCGGGAUACAAAUGGAGUGAGGACAUGUGCAAAAAUCAUGGCUGCUGCAAUAACAGCUGCACGCUAAAUCUUAAUGACAUUGCUGUGUGUCUGCCUGAAACAAGAGUAAGCAUCAAUGGAUUAACUGAAUUUAAUAGGGUUUGCAGGUAUUUAUGCUACCCAAGCAAAAAAGGUUCUCAAGAUUACAAUGC